rnacentral:rRNA from 1 species
UGCGUAGGCUGACUUUUAAGUCAGACGUGAAAUCCAAUGGCUUAACCAUUGAACUGCGUUUGAAACUGGGAGUCUAGAGUUCAGAAGGGGCAGAUGGAAUUAGUGGUGUAGGGGUAAAAUCCGUAGAUAUCACUAGGAAUAUCAAAAGCGAAGGCGAUCUGCUGGGAUGAUACUGACGCUGAGGCACGAAAGUGUGGGGAGCAAACAG